CCCAGGAUUGGAGGUCAGAGGACCUGCCCAGUAGUCCUAGUUCAGUCAGGAACUCACUGUGACCUUGGACAAGUCACAUCCUCUUUCUUGGUUUCAGAUUCCAUAUACGCACAUUGAUCAGACUGGGCUAGAUGAUCUGUGAAGACAUUUUAGUUUCCAAAUAAGUAUUGUGAAUACUUAUUCUAGUUCUCUGUCUUUAGGAGAUCAGAUCUUCCUAAAUUAAAAAUCAUGAUGUGACAGCCUCUAGCCACUUGCCAGUUAGAUAUAUUAAAGGAUCAGUCCUCUUACAGUUUUUUUCGUCCAAAUUUAGCUUCCAGUAUUCAGUUUUUCAUGAACAUGGAAUCUUUUUUUUUUUUUUUUCAUCUAGAAUGGCUGUGGAACUUCAUAGCCCUCCUGCUAAUAGGGCAUCUAGGCCCACUGAUACAUGGGUAAGAUAAAUUUGUGUACUAUCUUCUCCCCAUGUCUUCAGGUUUUUUU